CCCCGCGCCACUUCCUCCUACAGGCUCGCGCGGCGCGUUAAAGUCUGGGAGACACGAGUUGCGGGGAAACAGCACCGGAAGAGCCCGGGCUUGUAAAAUGCGAAUCAAUGAAUACGAAAUAAGGGCAACCGCGAGGCAGCGCCGGGAAGGGCUGGAGCGCGCGGGGGUGCAGGGAGUCCCUCCCUGGGCGCCGCAACGGCACCUCCUCCCUUUCCCGGCUCCGUCCCGCCCUCCCUCGGCCUCUGCGGACGCGACCCACGCAGACCACAGCCGAGCCCGCCGGACCCCGGGACUACGGAAGCCAUCCCGUCCGGCCACCCACACCCGCGCCGCGGCUGGGGCUUGGGUUGGGGACUGUGGCGGCGAAGAAGCCGGGGUAGGAAGAGCUAAUGGCAAUGGCGGGGUCGCCGGGGGGCGGGGGGUCAGCAGCAGACGCUGAGCUGUGAAGACUAGGGUGGCCCCGAAAGGCCGAGGAAAGGAGAAAGGGCCAUGAGAAGAGUCUGGCGAGCGCUCGAGGCCGGGGGGCUGCCUCCCGGCUCUGGCCCGGCCUCCGCUUCCCGGCACCUGCUGCUGGGGCGCCCACGUGCGCGCGGGGCUGCGCGGGGCGUUGGGUGCUCGUCGCAGUCCUGCCCACGCCUAGCGCAGCGGCUGUGAGUGGGUGGAGGUCUCCUGCCAGUAAGUUGGGAUGAGGGACGAUGAGGUGACCCCCAAGUCUGGAAGGGAUUCAGAGUCUCACACGCGCCCCCAAGCCUCCUACCACCACACCAAAGUGCUGGUUCCUCGAUUUCCAGGGUGGGGUAAAGUGACCGAGCAAAGGGGAUGGUGUGUUUGUGUGUGCGCGCGCAUAUACGCGCGCGCGUGUUGUGCAUCCGUGUAAUGAAAGUUGGGUCAUGGGUCAACCCGGGAGUAGAGCGAGAUGGAGACCUAAAGAGAGAAAGCUGAGAGAAGGGGGAAGACAUGGACAGGGUAAGAGAGAGAGAAAGGAGAGAGAGAAGAAAGGGAAAAGAGGAGCGGGGAGAGAAAAGAGAGGCAGGAGAGAGAAUGAGGGGACAGAAGAGAGUAGGGAGACGAGAAGGCGGAGGACAGAAGAAAUGGGGGAGAGGGAAGAGGACAGAGAGGCUGCGCGCCUCUGAAUACGCCAAGUCCAGCAGAGCUGGAGGCCUGUGAGAGGAGCUGCAAGCUUGAGCAAAGGGAGAGAGGGAGGGAGUUCUCACAAGAUCUGAUGGUUUAAGCGUGGCAGUUUCCCCUGAGCUCUCCUUCCUGCUGGUAUGUAAGGCGUGCUUUGCUUCCUCUUCACCUUCCGCCAUGAUUGUACAUUUCCUGAGGCCUCCCCAGCCAUGCAGAACUGCAUACAACUUAGGAUUCAUAACUACAUAUAUACGGAUAGAAGUGCAUGAACAGAAAAUCUGCCCUUCUGGAAUACCAAAUGCAAAAUUAAAGUGACUACAAGCAGAAUUUGGAGAAAAAAAUAAAAGAUGCAAUAUAGUUUUUAAAAUCAUUGUUAAAAUAUAAUGAGUCUGUACUUUGCUUAAACAAUAAAAAAGUCUUCGAUUUAUA
rnacentral:lncRNA from 1 species